UACGGGGGGAGCAAGCGUUGUUCGGAUUUACUGGGCGUAAAGGGCGCGUAGGCGGCGUAACAAGUCACUUGUGAAAUCUCCGGGCUUAACCCGGAGCGGCCAAGUGAUACUGUUGUGCUAGAGUGCGGAAGGGGCUACUGGAAUUCUCGGUGUAGCGGUGAAAUGCGUAGAUAUCUGGAGGAACACCGGUGGCGAAGGCGGCAUCCUGGACCGACACUGACACUGAGGAGCGAAAGCCAGGGGAGCAAACGGG
rnacentral:rRNA from 1 species